UUUUGGACAAUGGGGGAAACCCUGAUCCAGCCAUCCCGCGUGUGCGAUGAAGGCCUUCGGUUUGUAAAGCACUUUUGUUAGGGAAUAAAUCGUACAGGCUAAUAUCUUGCUCGGAUGACGGUACCGGAUGAAUAAGCACCGGCCAACUACGUACUAGCACCCGCGGUAAUACUCAGGGUGCAAGCGUUAAUCGGAAUUACUGGGCGUAAAGGGUGCGCAGGCGGUUUAUCAAGAAAGGUGGGAAAUCCCCGGGCUUAACCUGGGAAUGGCACUUUUAACGGAUAGGCUAGAGUAUGUCAGAGGGAGGUAGAAUUCCACGUGUAGCAGUGAAAUGCGUAGAGAUGUGGAGGAAUACCGAUGGCGAAGGCAGCCCCCUGGGAUAAUACUGACGCUCAUGCACGAAAGCGUGGGGAGCAAACA
rnacentral:rRNA from 1 species